rnacentral:rRNA from 1 species
GACGAACGCUGGCGGCGUGCCUAACACAUGCAAGUCGAACGGAAAGGCCCUGCUCUUGCGGGGUGCUCGAGUGGCGAACGGGUGAGUAACACGUGAGUAACCUGCCCCUGUCUUUGGGAUAAAUUCAGGAAACUGGGGAUCUUACCGGAUAGAAGAUCCUGCUGCACGGGGGGGGUCGGUAAGUUCCGGCGGUAGGGGAUGGACUAGCGGCUUAUCAGCUUGUUAGUGGGGUAGUGGCUUACCAGGUCUUUGACGGGUAGGCGGCCUGAGAGGGGGGCCGGCGACAUUGGGACUGAGGGACGGCGCAGACUCCUACGGGAGGCAGCAGUCGAAAAUAUUGCACAGUGGGCGGAAGCCUGAGGCAGCAAUGCCGCGUGCGUGAUGACGGCCUACGGGUUGUAAACCGCUGUCGCCUUUAACGUAGCGGGAUUGACGGUAAUGGGUAAAGAAGCACCGGCUAACUACGUG